CUUUGGUUUUCUUUCUUCAGCAAAUUCUGGGAACCAGGAAGUAGAUGACGGUUGGCCUUAGGGUACAAUCAACGGUCGAUGGUUUUGAUUUUAAUUCCAAACUCACCGACAGCGUUGAAUGUUCACUGAAGCAACCUCUAAACUCAGAAUUCUGUUGACUUUACAGCCUCUGUCAGAUGAAUGACACCAAAAUUUGGCAAAUAAUACUGAUUUGAAAGCUUGGAGAAAACACACCGUUCUGUGAAGCCACACUGCAAGACUGUCUCUGAUAAGAGUUGGGGCUGUUGAGAAGCCUUUGCCUGGUGUUUAUUGUUACCCAGCUCUCGCCUGUUAUAAGAAGAAGCCCUCGAAUGGAGCCACCCUGAGAGAACAGUCUCAGCAUGUUCUGAGCUCAAAGCAUAUGCUGAAAGAUGAAAAUCCUAAUUGCAGACUGAUGUGCCCAUGGUGUUUUGUGUAAGUGAAUCACUUGGCAAUACAAAGCAUAUUCCUGACAUUUUAAUAGAAGCCCUCAACACAUCAAUGACAUGAAAAAGACCAUCAUAUAAAAACAAUUCUGCUUUAUCGAUUCUGAAAAUAAUUCAUCUGUCUAUGAAUGUCCAGGAACCACCCAAGAUUGAUGAAGAAUAAGCUGAUGAAAAGUACAUUAUAGUUAAGAUAAGAAGGUGACAGUGUGAAGGGCAACAAAAACAAUUCUGGAGAAUGUUUUAUAUAUUUUGUAUCUGAUUUAGAAAUGGCUUUUUAAAACUUCAUAUCUGCAUCCUUCUAGAAUCCAUAAUUGCUAAUGAUUACAAGUAUCAGCUCCAGGAAGACUGCCUAGUGAGUUUUUCUGAGGCAGUAAAGAUAAACAAACCAGUCUCUAUCUAAACAAAUAUUUCUUUUAUGGUGAUUUAAACCCUCAGCAUAUAAUGGGGCAGUAAGACAUUAGGAGAAUUCAUAGUAUCUUUUGGCUGUCAUAGGAACAGUUAGCUAAAACUGACAAAAUGCUUAAGCAUACAUAAAAUCAAUUUCCUAAAAAUGUUACAAAUAUAGUACAAAAUAUUCUCUAACUAGAAGAUUUUAGAUAUUAGA